AGUGAACGCUGGCGGUAGGCCUAACACAUGCAAGUCGAACGGCAGCACAGAGGAGCUUGCUCCUUGGGUGGCGAGUGGCGGACGGGUGAGGAAUACAUCGGAAUCUACUUUUUCGUGGGGGAUAACGUAGGGAAACUUACGCUAAUACCGCAUACGACCUACGGGUGAAAGCAGGGGACCUUCGGGCCUUGCGCGAUUGAAUGAGCCGAUGUCGGAUUAGCUAGUUGGCGGGGUAAAGGCCCACCAAGGCGACGAUCCAUAGCUGGUCUGAGAGGAUGAUCAGCCACACUGGAACUGAGACACGGUCCAGACUCCUACGGGAGGCAGCAGUGGGGAAUAUUGGACAAUGGGCGCAAGCCUGAUCCAGCCAUACCGCGUGGGUGAAGAAGGCCUUCGGGUUGUAAAGCCCUUUUGUUGGGAAAGAAAUCCAGCUGGCUAAUACCCGGUUGGGAUGACGGUACCCAAAGAAUAAGCACCGGCUAACUUCGUGCCAGCCGCCGCAGUAA
rnacentral:rRNA from 1 species